ACAUACGACCAUACCCACUGGAAAACUCGGGAUCCCGUCCGCUCUCCCAUAGAUAAGCCAGUGAGGGACAGAGUAGUAGCAGAGUAGUAGUCGGGUGGUGACGACCGGCGAAUGCCUGUUGUUGUAUGUU
rfam:Colletotrichum gloeosporioides Nara gc5 unplaced genomic scaffold scaffold1066, whole genome shotgun sequence.